UGAACAACCAUCACAAAACAAAUAAACAGUUGUAGAUCAUCCAGAUUAUUCACAAGUGGAAAACAACAUUCAAGACAGUUGCCAAUCUUCCCAGGAGUGGACGUCCCCAGCAAAUUCACCCCAAGGUGUCAUAUACAGGGAAUGAAACCUCAUGUCACAACGAUCUUCUUACCAGGCAUAUGCUUUAAAGGCACACUAUGUACAUUUUUGCCACUAGAGGUCACCUAUAAACAAAGGCGAAGCUUGAUGAUGCCGAGAUUGAGGGUGGAAUCAUAGGAGAUGUCCUCUUCAUCUCACAGCCAGUGGAAAAGAAUCGGGACGGGACUCGGGCAGAAAUCAUGUUCAUGGAUGAGAUUAUUAGUAUGAAGCAGAGCAGGAG